GACGAACCGUGCGAACGUUGUUCGGAUUCACUGGGCUUAAAGGGCGCGUAGGCGGGCCAGCGAGUCGGGGGUGAAAUCCCACGGCUCAACCGUGGAACUGCUUGGUAUACUGCUUAUCUUGAGCCACUUAGGGGCUGUCGGAACAAACGGUGGAGCGGUGAAAUGCGUAGAUAUCGUUUGGAACGCCAACGGUGAAAACAGACAGCUGGGAGUGUGCUGACGCUGAGACACGAAAGCCAGGGGAGCGAACGGG
rnacentral:rRNA from 1 species